AUUGAACGCUGGCGGCAGGCCUAACACAUGCAAGUCGAGCGGAGCGGCGGACGGGCGAGUAAGGCCUAAAUAUCUGCCUGGUAGCGGAGGCUAACGUCAGAACACGGGCGCUCAUACCGCAUACUAUCAGAUGAGCCUAGGUGGGAUUAGCGAGUUGGUGGGGUAAAGGCCUACCAAGGCGACGAUCCGUAACUGGUCUGAGAGGAUGAGCAGUCACACUGGAACUGAGACACGGUCCAGACUCCUACGGGAGGCAGCAGUGGGGAAUAUUGGACAAUGGGCGAAAGCCUGAUGCAGCCAUGCCGCGUGUGUGAAGAAGGUCUUCGGAUUGUAAAGCACUUUAAGUUGGGAGGCGUUACCAGCAGAAUAAGCACCGGCUAACUCCGUGCCAGCAGCCGCGGUAAUUC
rnacentral:rRNA from 1 species